GAGCCGCGGCGCUGGGGUGAAACGCGACGCCUCGAAGCGAGCUCAAGUGAGCGCAGGAAGAAAGGAAGAGCCCGAGACCGAACACAACGAGCGGGGGGCAUCGGAAGGGAGCGCGGCAGGAGGGGCGGGAAAAGGACCCCAACAGUUUCUUACGGCGUGCCGUGCAGGGUUGGAGGUGCAGACCCGAAGCCUACCUGUGAGACGCUGCCUCCUGCCGGUAGAAUUCUGGAGCCCUGACACCUGUGGAACCUACCGUAUCAAUCCCCCCCUGGCCAUACUAACAGCGUUAGUUAGGAGAAAGGCCUUCCGUUUGAUGUGAUACCAAUUGCACAGCUCCUGGUGUUCAGCACGUGAACUUCGCAGAAACAAGUCUUUCCGGCAGCAAGGCAUAAUCGCGAGUAUUACUGGUCCUAACCCACUGAGCUCCACCAGCCCGUGUUAGGGCAUUUCAAACCGGCAACCAGCAAUCCACGGGCCUGGAGAGACCUAGGAUCUUUUGGGGAAUCUUGGGGCUUCCCUGGUGGCUCAGUAGUAACGAAUCCACGUGCAAAUGCAGGACACACAGGUUCGAUCCCUGCUCUGUGAAGACUGCACAUGCUGCAGAAAAACUAAGUCCCUACACCGCAACUACUGAGCCUGAGCCGGUGCCCUGCGGCCCAGGAGGAAGAGCAGCCGCCAUCCAAGCCAGUGCACCGCGACUAGAGAGGCGCUCCUGCUGACCGCAACUAGAGAGAAGCCCCUGCAGCAAGGAAGACCCGGCGCAGUCAAACAUAGAUACAUAAAAAUAAAGGGGAACCUUCUUUUCCUUAUCUCGAAAAAAUAUUGUCAAAAUACUGAUGGAUCAUCCAGAGUUUUGUUUUUCAUAAAUGUGUCUUAAUGAAUUUUUAAAAAAAUCUGAACAAGCAGUAUGAUUUUUUUGUUUGUUUGUUUUUCUCCAUCUAAACAACAGACAUUUAUUUCUCAGUUGUGGAGGCUGGGGAUUCCAAGGUCAAGGUGCUUCUGAUUCGGGUCUGAGGGCACCUGCUUCCUGGUUCAUGGAAGGUGAGAAUAAGCAGUAUGAUUUAAAUAGUUUAUUUCAUGAGCUCUAAAUGAGUACCACCGGGCCCUUGGAACUGCAUGACCGCAAUAUUUUAUUUUUCAUUGACCUUCCAACUUAUCUCCAGAUUCAUGGCCCAUUCUUAUUAAAUCUCUUUUGCUCAAUCAAAUCAAAUCUUUAAGUUGAGUAUGAACUUACAUAUAUGCUAAGAGAGCCUUGCUCCCUGCUUACGUACGUGAGAGAAAACCUAUCUGUGGGAGUGCUGAUGUGUCACGGCUGCCUAAAACGUGGCAGCUGGCGUCUGUAAACUGCUCAGUGACCAUCAGAUGCAACCUUUGAAACGAGUGGCAAAUGCCUUUUUAUGGGGUGAGAAGCACUGGCACUUUGAAUUCCAUCUUUGAGUGUCGUGAGCAGUCAUUCAUGUAAGGUUUGUAUACAUGUAAGUUCUCCACUCUUCAGUUUCCAGAUGUAACUAAAGGAAAGUACAUUCUCAUUACCACCUCAGCAACCACCAGAACAAACACUUACUGUCUGUAUAGUAUGUGUGGGUCAUUGCCCCAGGCUCUCCAGGGUUUUCAGUUCAUAGAUUAAUCAUUUUAUCUUCAAUUCGUUUGUCUCUGUGGGAACAAACUCGAUGUCUUUCAUAAAGAAUCAAUCAGUAUUUGUUAAAGAAACGUUGAUGU